rnacentral:rRNA from 1 species
GUCUGUAACUUUAAUUUCGGCUAAGUCGUGUAAAGUUCUAGAUAGUUAAUGAUUGUGACAACUUCUAUCUAUAUGUCUUGACCAAAUCUUGUGCCAGCAGUCGCGGCAAGACAAGAGAGACUUGUGUUAUUCAUCUUUAUUAGGUUUAAAGGGUACCUAGACUGUUAUUAUUGCCUUAAGGGUACGUAGAUGACUAGAGUUUAAUGUAAACAAAUUGAACAAUUGAAGGAAAGAUCGAAUGCGGUAAUCUCAAUUAGACAGGUAACGGCGAAGGCUAUUAUUUAUGUGAAAACUGACGUUGAGGGACGAAGGCAAUGUGUUAUGAAGAGGAUUAGAGACCCUCCUAGUCUUUGCAGACAAUUAUGAGUGUUAUAGAUUAUAAAAAAAGUUAAGGAUCUAUAAAUGAAAGUGUAAGCACUCCACCUCAAGAGUAAUGUGGCAACACAGGAACUGAAAUCAUUAGACCGUUUCUGAAACCAGUAGUGAAGUAUGUUAUUUAAUUCGAUGAUCCUCGAAUAACCUUACCACAAUUUGUAUAUAAAUGUAUUAUAAAUAUUGUUUUAUAACCCUAUUUAUAUAAAAAUUUAUACAAGCGUUGCACGGCUGUCUUCAGUUAAUGUUGUGAAAGUUGGUUAGAUCCAGUGAAUUAGCGUAAACCCUUGCUUUAUUUAUUAUUAUAAAGUAGAUCACCAUUACAAUGGUAAACAGUAUAAUUUGUGAAUAUUUUAUAUAAUAUAUAAUAAUAUUAUGUAUUAUGAAUAUGUAUAUAUAUCAGAUAAGGUUAUACCUAGUCUGAUUUGUUAUUGUAUUCAUUCUGAAAAGAUUAUUCAUUAAAAGUAAUAUGUUGUAAAUAUAAGAUAUAUAUUUUGUAUUAUUUACGUAUUAUUUAUAAUUAUAUCGAUAAUAGGACUAAGAC